UCUCUCUUGAGGCUACGUUUUUUUUUCCCAGAAAAUCCAACAGUUAAGAGUCAACUUUUCACUCACCAAGUGUCAAUUCAAAGGUGUGGAAAGGAAACAAGACUGACAGUUUGUGGGGGAAGGGGCCAACUGGGAGUGGCAGUUGGGUCUUGUGACUGGCACUUCCUUCCUGCGGGGAGCGGGGGAUGGGCUGCCUGGUGUUGGAGGAGAGAGGACCUUGUUCAGCCUGUCUGAAGUGGCAUGCUCUUCUUGAUUCAGCCGGAAGAUUCAGGCCCAGUCGCUUCUGAAGGAAGCAAGGAAGAAAAACCUACAAAUUCAAUCUGCUUAAGUAUUUUUCAGAUCUGAUCAUUCAAAAUCUGAAAGCACUAAAGAAAGAAAAAGAAAAAGGAAGGAUGAAACAAAGAAAUAAAGAAGGAAAGUAAGAACAAAAGGAAUGAAGGAAAGAAGGAAAGAAAGAAAGAAGAAAAGUAGGAAGGAAGGAAAGAAAAGAAAGAAAAUAUCCCCUGUAAAAAAUAUACAUAGCCAAGAAAAACACUACAUUAUCAAUUUUCAAAAAUAUUUCAUUAUAUAUAGUCCAUCACCUCUAUUGGGUCUGGUUUGUACUGUAAGUCAUUGGUCCUCUAGAAGUAUGGCUGAUCAUUGCACUGAUAAGAGUUCUGAAAUCUUUAAAAAUUCUUCCCCAUAUUGUAACAGUUUAAAUUACUUUCCUUCUUCCACUCACUUCACUGCAAAAUUUUAAUGUAAUGGUCAAAUGAUGUAACCUCCUUCAUACAGAAACUUUUUCCCUUUGUUUUCAAUAGGAUUUUUUUUGGCAACUAUACAUAUGUCAUGAAUUUUCUUCUUGUACAUAGCAAUUACAUGAGAAGCUGUUCUCCUUUCUCUCCUUUUUAUCAUUGUACACAUUUCCACUUUUCUUUCAAUUUUAUAAAUAACUACCACCACCAAAAAAAAUUACUAAACAAGUACACAAAAGACUAUGUGCAAAUAUUGUUUACAAAUUGUGUAAAAUAUAUAAAUUUUAUAGGUAUGCUAAUGUAAAAAUUCUUUACUUUUGACUUCACUUUGUAUUUUUUUAUUUGGAUAAAUUUUUCUCUUGACUGUGACUAUUUUUAAAUUUUAAUUGUGUUAUACAUUAUUCUUAUUCUCUUUUCUUCUUUUUUCACCUUUUCAUAUACUUCCCUUAUUUACUUUAAAUUUAAAAUUUUUGUCAUUUCAAAGCAUAAGAUCCUUUACAUUCAAAUAUCACAAUCUAUUUAGCCAUUUCUAUCAUUCACUGCAUUUGUGUUAUUUCCAGUUAUUUGGCCAUAAUAAACAAAGCUUCUAUAAAUAUGUUCUGGCAAACACAGCUUUUUAUCUCUGUGUGUCUACUCCUAGUAAUGGGAUCUCUAGGUCAAUGAAAAUGAAUAGCUUUACAGCACUUAAUAUAUAAUUCCAUCUUAUUUUCUUUUUUAAAAAAUCACAGAUGCUAUAGCAAUGCAAUAUUAGGCCUGUUUCUCCAUGUUCCUGUCAGCAUUUAAUUUGAACACUUUUGCCCAUCUGAUUUUCAAUGAGCAUAUAUUACAAGGUCCAUAUUCUGCUAGAUUGGUUCCUAGGCAGCAGACACAAUCUGUUGCCAGGGUCAUACUCUUUCUAAAACAACUCUUUCUAGUUUGGUCACAUCCAUUUGGAAUUUUUAUACCAAUAUGACAACUCCUCAGGAAUGCAGGAUUAUCUACAGUAUGAUGAUUGUUAAAGUAAAAGUUUUGAGGAAUAUACUCUCUAAGCCAUUGAUGCUCCACUAGAAGCUAUGUUUGGAUUAUAUGUAUGCUCAGGCUUAUGUCUACUA